rnacentral:lncRNA from 12 species
CCACCCUCUUCCGGCCAGCCAUUUUUUUUCCUUCUGCUGGCCUGUUUGGCUUUUUCCCCGAGGCCGCAUUUCCACAACGGCCCCUCCUGGCUGGCUGGGCGUGGGUAUGGCUCCACCACACACCCAUCAGCAGGGGCAGCCCGGCCCUGGGCUUCCUGCCCCUCUCUGGGCGGGCUGAUUGGCGGAAAACAGCCCUCGAGCCUUCUUCAAAACAGGAAACUGCUCUCCCUGCUUCCUGAAGGACAGGAACUGUCCCCAUGGCAACCAUGGGACAAAGAGGCCAGGUUAACCCUUCCAAGGGCGAGGGCAGGCCGGCCUGAAGGCCCUUCUUCACCAAUCCCGUGUGGGUGUGGCAGCGUGCAGGUGACAGGGAGGGUCUGCUUCAGUGACACCCUCAGUCUCAGCGCUAUCCUGAGGCAACCGCAGGCCAUUUAAUCCAUACUAAUGUUGGAAAUGGAAGUCCGAUCUAGGUCUUACUGCCCAUCUGGUUCCCUCUUCCUUUGGCCCUGGGUGGAGAAGACAGAAUGGAUUCAGCACCAGGGACUUUGCCUAAUGCAACCAUAUGCUGAUUGUAUGACCUCUGGCAAUCCCUUCCUUUUUCAGGGCCUCAGGCUCCUUCUUUAUAAAGUGAGAGAUUAGGUACCCUAAUCCCUGGUUUUCCUUCCAGUUUUAAUUUUCUUUGAGUCUACUCAUGAUAAUCUUCCCCCUUUCCUGGGCCUUCUACUGGGUCAACUUGAAAAAGAUUUGGGGAAAGAGUGCUCAGUGAUAAAGGAAUCCUGCUCCCAUUUCCUACAGAUGCUGGGACUCCUGACCAUUAAAUGUCCCCCUGAUAGAUGAGUAUCUAGGAGGUGAGUAAUGGGGUCACUCUUUACUUCCCUGCUGGCACAGAUAGCACACAGCAAGGCUUCCUAACAAAACCUGACUUCUAGGCUCUGGCUCUAAUUCCACCCUCACUUCCCCCAAGAAGUCUUUCUAAAACCUGAGGAUCAGGUAGAGAAGAGUACUACUCCAUGGAUGGCGAAGAUUGGUAAUUAAUUGGUAGUAGCUGCCUGGACCUUUGUGAUAAGAUGUUCCUGAAGCAUCACUUCAGUUCAGAGUGUUGUGAUUGAUUAAUGAUGCCUGCAAGGAACUGGGGUGAACAGCAGUGCCAUGUGUGUCAUGUGUUUGUCAUGUGUGGAGUGUCCACUUGAGUUAUGCUAUACCUUUUUACUUUAGAAAGUCUUGGACCUAGUUCAAGGAAGAAGAUGAGAGGAGGUAGACUGAAGGACAAGUCUAGCUGAUCAAGUCAGAUGAGAGUUUAUGAUUUCCAGAUAAUUUUAUACCUUCACAUCAUACCUGGUUUAUUGGGGGCAUUGUUGGGGGGUGAAGCCUUAUCCCUCUCUCCUGGUGUUUCUAUGAAGAUAGGGGCUCUCCCUUUUCUCCCUCCUCCUCAAGG